AGAGUUUGAUCGAUGGCUCAGGAUGAACGCUGGCGGCGUGCUUAACACAUGCAAGUCGAACGGAGUGUAAACGCUGAAGCGAUUCGGUCAAUCUUGUUAUACUUAGUGGCGGACGGGUGAGUAACGCGUGGGUAACCUGCCGUAUGCAGGGGGACAACAGUUGGAAACGACUGCUAAUACCGCAUAAGCGCACAGUACCGCAUGGUACAGUGUGAAAAAGAUCUAUCGGCAUACGAUGGACCCGCGUCUGAUUAGCUAGUUGGUGAGGUAACGGCCCACCAAGGCGACGAUCAGUAGCCGGCCUGAGAGGGUGAACGGCCACAUUGGGACUGAGACACGGCCCAAACUCCUACGGGAGGCAGCAGUGGGGAAUAUUGGACAAUGGGGGAAACCCUGAUCCAGCGAACCGCCGCGUGAGUGAAGAAGUAUUUCGGUAUGUAAAGCUCUAUCAGCAAGGAAGAAAAUGACGGUACUUGACUAAGAGGCUCCGGCUAAAUACGUGCCAGCAGCAGC
rnacentral:rRNA from 1 species